CAUUCUCACUCGUUAACCAGACAAAGUUUUAUUUCGCAAACGAUAUAUUGUUACACGUGAAAUUCGGAGUGAGAUUUCUUGUACAAAAAGAAAAUCGAAAAAAAAAUGAAAUUUCUACUGCGGUAAAUUUCCUUGUUCCCCCCUCCCAAUUGUUUUGAAAACUAAAAAGAAAUUCAAAAAAUGACCUAAUGGCACGCGCCAACUAGAACAGAAAUUCAACAAAAAAGGUCUCACGUAAUGUUUUGAUUGAAGCGAGAUUUUCUCGUUGUUUACACGGACGGAUACCGAAAUAAGAACACGUAAAACCGAUACGUAUCUCGCUACGUUCAGAAUCUUAAAAAAAAAAAAAAAAGACGUAUCAACGUCCCGCGUAUAGAACGGGUGACGACGACUGACGACGGUGUGCGGUACAGUAACGGUACUAAAUAUUAUAUUGUAUAUUAUUAGACUAGGUUAGUGACCGGUCGGUCAAAGUUCGGAUAUUAUGGUAUUUGGACGCGGGUUGAAAUUACGAAUCG